rnacentral:rRNA from 1 species
UACAGAGGUCCCAAGCGUUGUUCGGAUUCACUGGGCGUAAAGGGUGCGUAGGUGGUCGGGUAAGUCCGAUGUGAAAUCUCCAGGCUCAACCUGGAAAUGGCAUUGGAUACUAUCCGGCUUGAGGAUGGUAGGGGUCUCUGGAACUCAUGGUGUAGCGGUGAAAUGCGUUGAUAUCAUGGGGAACACCGAAAGCGAAGGCAAGAGACUGGACCACUCCUGACGCUGAAACACGAAAGCGUGGGUCGCGAAUGGG